rnacentral:rRNA from 1 species
UACGUAGGGGGCUAGCGUUGUCCGGAAUCAUUGGGCGUAAAGCGCGUGUAGGCGGUCCGGUAAGUCCGCUGUGAAAGUCGGGGGCUCAACCCUCGGAUGCCGGUGGAUACUGUCGGGCUUGAGUACGGAAGAGGCGAGUGGAAUUCCUGGUGUAGCGGUGAAAUGCGCAGAUAUCAGGAGGAACACCGAUGGCGAAGGCAGUUCUCUGGGCCGUAACUGACGCUGAGACGCGAAAGCGUGGGGAGCGAACAGG